rnacentral:rRNA from 1 species
UGCAAGUCGAACGAUGAAGCCCUUCGGGGUGGAUUAGUGGCGAACGGGUGAGUAACACGUGGGCAAUCUGCCCUGCACUCUGGGACAAGCCCUGGAAACGGGGUCUAAUACCGGAUGAUAUCCCCUCUCGCAUGGGAGGGGGUUGAAAGCUCCGGCGGUGCAGGAUGAGCCCGCGGCCUAUCAGCUAGUUGGUGAGGUAGAAGCUCACCAAGGCGACGACGGGUAGCCGGCCUGAGAGGGCGACCGGCCACACUGGGACUGAGACACGGCCCAGACUCCUACGGGAGGCAGCAGUGGGGAAUAUUGCACAAUGGGCGAAAGCCUGAUGCAGCGACGCCGCGUGAGGGAUGACGGCCUUCGGGUUGUAAACCUCUUUCAGCAGGGAAGAAGCGAAAGUGACGGUACCUGCAGAAGAAGCGCCGGCUAACUACGUGCCAGCAGCCGCGGUAAUACGUAGGGCGCAAGCGUUGUCCGGAAUUAUUGGGCGUAAAGAGCUCGUAGGCGGCUUGUCACGUCGGUUGUGAAAGCCCGGGGCUUAACCCCGGGUCUGCAGUCGAUACGGGCAGGCUAGAGUGUGGUAGGGGAGAUCGGAAUUCCUGGUGUAGCGGUGAAAUGCGCAGAUAUCAGGAGGAACACCGGUGGCGAAGGCGGAUCUCUGGGCCAUUACUGACGCUGAGGAGCGAAAGCGU